CUUCAACGAGGAAUUCCUAGUAAGCGUGAGUCAUCAGCUCGCGUUGAUUACGUCCCUGCCCUUUGUACACACCGCCCGUCGCUCCUACCGAUUGAAUGACUCGGUGAACUGUUCGGAUUGUGGCAAU
rnacentral:rRNA from 14 species